ensembl:lncRNA
AAAACAUUCAACCUCAGUGACACAAGGGUACAUCUGAUGAUAUAGAUUCAUUGAUGUCCUGGUUGGUAUCCUAAUAAUAGUGUAGUAGCCUACAUAGGAUAACCAUGAAAUUAAUAUACAGCAUAAUAUGAAUAUAUAAAUAUAUAUAAUUUAAAUGAGGCGGGUGACCAAUAGCGACAGAUCUGCCAACCAAUCACGAGUGAUUGAAAGUUGUGGUUUCAUCCAAUCAUGAACAAGGAAACUCAAGCCUGGUCUGCCCAGGUGUGGUUUUGCUGCCAAUCACGAGUGAUUUUAUUUGUUAGAAAGUUGUGAUUUCAUCCAAUAAGGAGUAAGGAUAUUCAAGCCCACUCGGCUCGGCCACCCGCGGUUUAGCUGCAUUCAUAUGCUAAUUAGGGCCAUUCACACCUCCGCCAGCUCUCCAUAUACGUCAUGGUUCGUUUCCGACAAUUUGUGGCACAGACAAACGCGACAUGCGCGGGUUGCAAAUUGUCGGAAACUGUCGGAGAGAUUCCCGGGCGUUUACGGAGACGAAAAUCUCACUUUUCAUGCAGUGAGGAUAGCAGCAAGCUCCAGGACAUUGACAAGAAUGGCAAAAGUACUCUGAAAGGUCUGCAUUGCUGCUGUCAAGCGACAGAGGAAAAGAUGUAUGAGGAUUGGUGGUCGUCAUCAAGUUGUUGUUAUUGACGAGAGCAAAUUUGCCCACAAACGAAAGUACCAUCAUUGUCGAUGUGGCAACACUUGGCGCCGUGAACGGCAGUGGGUCUUUGGGAUGUUGGAGGUCGACAAGAAGUCCAGAAGACCCAUUCUGAGACUUGUCAGGGAUCGCAGAAGGAAGACACUUAUAGGUCAUAUUAGACGCCAUGUCAGACCCAGAACAUCCAUCCUCAGUGAUGAAUGGCGUGCCUACAAAGGGCAACUUGCCCAGUAUGGGUAUGAUCAUUAUUCGGUCUGCCAUAAAAACAACUUUGUGGACCGAGAGACUGGUGCUCAUACUCAGCAUAUUGAGCGUGCAUAGUAAAGCUACAAGCUGGAAGUAUGGCGUCACAGAGGGAAUCGUACUCCUGAAUCACUCAAGCUUCAUCUUAAGAUGAUAGAAUGGCACCACUGGUUGGGUGUACACCAUUACAAUGGCGUGUUGGGCAGACUUUUCCAUGAUUUUUUUUUUUUUUACUUUACUUUUUACUGAUGUGAAAAAACUUGUUUUUU